GUUUAGGUAGCAAAGAAAGUUAAUGCUAUAGAUUUAGGCUCUAUGACCACAGGUGCAAGUCCUUUCCUAAACU
rnacentral:tRNA from 1 species